rnacentral:rRNA from 1 species
CACGUAGGGGGCGAGCGUUGUCCGGAUUUAUUGGGCGUAAAGAGCUCGUAGGCGGUCUGUCGCGUCUGCUGUGAAAACCUGGGGCUUAACCCCGGGCCUGCAGUGGGUACGGGCAGACUAGAGUGUGGUAGGGGAGACUGGAAUUCCUGGUGUAGCGGUGAAAUGCGCAGAUAUCAGGAGGAACACCGGUGGCGAAGGCGGGUCUCUGGGCCGAUAUUGACGCUGAGGAGCGAAAGCGUGGGGAGCGAACAGG